rnacentral:rRNA from 1 species
AUUGAACGCUGGCGGCAGGCCUAACACAUGCAAGUCGAGCGAGCGGCGGACGGGUGAGUGAUUUCUGGUAAACUGCCUGAUGGAGGGGGGUAACUCCUGGAAACGGUAGCUAAUACCGCAUACCAUCAGAUGUGCCCCGAUGGGAUUAGCUAGUAGGUGGGGUAACGGCGCACCUAGGCGACGAUCCCUAGCUGGUCUGAGAGGAUGACAAGACACACUGGAACUGAGACACGGUCCAGACUCCUACGGUAGGCAGCAGUGGGGAAUAUUGCACAAUGGGCGCAAGCCUGAUGCAGCCAUGCCGCGUGUGUGAAGAAGGCCUUCGGGUUGUAAAGCACUUUCAGCGGGGAGGCGUUACCCGCAGAAGAAGCACCGGCUAACUCCGUGCCAGCAGCCGCGGUAAUUC